rnacentral:tRNA from 1 species
GGCGGGUUAGCUCAGUUGGUUAGAGCGCAGGAAUCAUAAUCCUGAGGUCCCCGGUUCGAAUCCGGGACCCGCUACCA